UCCAAGAUGGCCGCUGUGUAAUCCAAUCCUUGUAAAUGGCGGGAAAGUUCUAAUACUUGUCGACUUAAGUCAGUUUCUUUCUUCGUGACGCCUCUGGACGAUGUGGAUGUGGUUUCCAUUUGUGUGUCUGGUUUGCAUUUUUUGUAUUGUUUUAUUUAUUAUCUUAGAUUAGUUGACGAAAGAGGAAGGUCGUUAUAGACUGGACUCACUACACGGCAUGUCUUCAGAUUUGGAUUCAACUGCCGGUCGUUGGCCCAGCCUUUCGGCCAAUGAGUCAAUGAUCUUCCGGUUACCGAUGAACUUACUCGACAGUUUACGCAGAUGUGUAAAGUAAGUUAUUCCGUGCAACAAAACAGCAAUAUCGAAGAAGAUAGGUCACUGCCACCAACAUGUACGACUGACACCUUAGCUGAAUAGCUGUUCGCUGUUCUAGUCAGAAUGCUGAAGUGCUCAACUAGGAAAAGGGUGCCUCAACUACGUUAGUUUGGCG